rnacentral:rRNA from 1 species
CAGUAAGCGGAGGAAAAGAAACUAACGAGGAUUCCCCUAGUAACGGCGAGUGAACGGGGAAGAGCCCAUCGCCGAAGCCCCACGUCCGAACAGGGCUGCGGGCAAUGUGGCGUUAGGGAAAGAGCCAUCCGUGCGGUCGGUGGGAGCCUAAGUCCCCCUGACAGGGGCCAUCGCCCGUGGAGGGUGCUAGGCCCGUACGGCUCCCGGUAUUCGACCGUGCGACGGCUUUUUUCCCCCGAGUCGGGUUGCUUGGGAGUGCAGCCCUAAGUCGGUGGUAAACUCCACCCAAGGCUAAAUACCGCCACGAGACCGAUAGCGAACAAGUACCAUGAGGGAAAGUUGCAAAGAACUUUGAAGAGAGAGUUCAAGAGUACGUGAAACCGCUCGGAGGGAAACGGGUGGGCACUCGAAGGUCGAACGGUGGGAUUCAACCGGUCGUCGUGAUAUCUCCGAUGGUUGCGGGCUGUACAAACUUAACGGAUCACUAACCUGACCGAGCCCGUGCUAUAAAGAGUCGGAGGACGGCUGGCGCACUUCCCGCCUAGUAGGACGCCGCGACCGGUCGGGAGUGAAAUAAUAACGGCGGCCAUAAGGCAAUUUCUGUCAUGGAAAUUAUCAAAGAGAGGGCAGGUAUCUGGCAGGUAGGCUUCUUUUCCUCACCUUGGCACCUCGCGGUGUUCAAGGUAGGUUGGGAGCUCCUACCGGAGUUAUAGCCCGCUCGACGCCYGGCUCCGCCGCCCGACCGAGGAGUAAAGUGCAAGACCCUCGCCGGUGGAGGAAGAACCAUAGUGUGGCAGGCGGUUUCAUUCCCGCACGUGCCGGACGCACACAGAGGCGGCCGGUUCUCACGUGAUCGGGCCGCUGUUGGUCACCGAGGGGACUCACACCGCGCGCGACCGGAGGUCUGCGNNNNNNNNNNNNNNNNNNNNNNNNNNNNNNNNNNNNNNNNNNNNNNNNNNNNNNUGUGCGCGAGUCAAUGGGGAUCUCUCGAGACCCACGGGCGCAAUGAAAGUGAAGGUUUGGUGAGCCUAUAAAAUGGUUCCGCCAACCGAGGCGGGAUCCGUCCGGGCCCGAGCUGGUAUUCGGGGUGAUCCGUCCUUUCAACUCGGCUGGUGGACGUCAAAAAUUCGCCACGUCGGGGAUGACAAGGGGCUGGGUCAUCUUAGAGCCGCUCGAUUGAUAUAAUUUCCGGCGGCGCACCGUCGGCCCGUCGCADACGCAACGUCGUUGCGGCGGAGCAUGAGCGUACACGUUGGGACCCGAAAGAUGGUGAUCUAUGCCCGGGCAGGACGAAGCCAGAGGAAACUCUGGUGGAGGUCCGUAGCGAUUCUGACGUGCAAAUCGAUCGUCGGACCUGGGUAUAGGGGCGAAAGACUAAUCGAACCGUCNNNNNNNNNNNNNNNNNNNNNNNNNNNNNNNNNNNNNNNNGCGCUCGGAACGGAACGCAGUCUCAUCCGGUAAAGCGAAUGAUUAGAGGCCUUGGGGCCGAAACGACCUCAACCUAUUCUCAAACUUUAAAUGGGUGAGAAGUCCGGCUUGCUCGACUACUGAAGCCCGGACGGUGUCUCAUCUACCCAUUCUGGGAGAUGUGGACACGAGAUGGAUGCGAGUGCCAAGUGGGCCACUUUUGGUAAGCAGAACUGGCGCUGUGGGAUGAACCAAACGCCGGGUUAAGGCGCCGAAUGCGGACGCUCAUCAGACCCCAUGAAAGGUGUUGGUUGCUAUAGACAGCAGGACGGUGGCCAUGGAAGUCGGAAUCCGCUAAGGAGUGUGUAACAACUCACCUGCCGAAGCAACUAGCCCUGAAAAUGGAUGGCGCUCUAGCGUCGAGCCUAUACCCGGCCGUCGGGACAGCAGCGGGUGCCUCAUUUUGCACCCGUGCCGAUGUCCCGACGAGUAGGAGGGUCGCGGCGGUGCGCGUUGAAGGUUAGGGCGCGAGCCCGACUGGAGCCGCCGUCGGUGCAGAUCUUGGUGGUAGUAGCAAAUACACGAGUGAGAACCUUGUGGACUGAAGUGGAGAAGGGUUUCGUGUGAACAGCAGUUGAACACGAGUCAGUCGGUCCUAAGGAAUAGGGGAAACCCGUUCCGAACCGGGGGCUYUUUUUCGUGAAUCAAUAAUAGAAARACCCCGARWCKACCGARAGGGAAUCGGGUUAAUAUUCCCGAACCCGGAUGCGGAGAUCGACCCCUCCGUGGGUCCAAUGCGGCAACGCAAACGAACUCGGAGACGUCAGCGAAAGUCCCGGGAAGAGUUGUCUUUUCUUUGUAAGGAACGGACUCCCUGGAAUCGGCUCGCCCGGAGAGAGGGACGUUGUUUCCGUAAAGCACCGCGGCUCUUGCGGUGUCCGGAGCACUUUUGCUGACCCUUGAAAAUCCGAGGGAGAGACACAUCUUGAUUUUCGCGCCGGACCGUACCCAUAUCCGCAGCAGGUCUCCAAGGUGAACAGCCUCUAGUCGAUAGAACA